rnacentral:rRNA from 1 species
AUUGAACGCUGGCGGCAUGCCUUACACAUGCAAGUCGAACGGCAGCACGGGUGCUUGCACCUGGUGGCGAGUGGCGAACGGGUGAGUAAUACAUCGGGACAUGUCCUGUAGUGGGGGAUAGCCCGGCGAAAGCCGGAUUAAUACCGCAUACGAUCUACGGAUGAGAGCGGGGGACCUUCGGGCCUCGCGCUAUAGGGUUGGCCGAUGGCUGAUUAGCUAGUUGGUGGGGUAAAGGCCUACCAAGGCGACGAUCAGUAGCUGGUCUGAGAGGACGACCAGCCACACUGGGACUGAGACACGGCCCAGACUCCUACGGGAGGCAGCAGUGGGGAAUUUUGGACAAUGGGCGAAAGCCUGAUCCAGCAAUGCCGCGUGUGUGAAGAAGGCCUUCGGGUUGUAAAGCACUUUUGUCCGGAAAGAAAUCCUUGGCCCUAAUACGGUCGGGGGAUGACGGUACCGGAAGAAUAAGCACCGGCUAACUACGUG